rnacentral:lncRNA from 1 species
CCUAGUGAUGUGAUGAGAGAGAGUCAAAAAUAAGCAUCUUAAUUUUUUGCCCUUAUACUAAUUUUCUUUUACCUUUUUUAAGAUUGUUCGCACUUUUAAAAUUGAUAGUCAAUAACGUGACUUGGUUGAAUAAAUUACUCAGAUAUAUUAUAUUUAAUAUGUGGGGAAGUGAAUCAUUCCCAAAAGUAGGCAAGAUCUAUGUAGUUGAUACUAGAG